CCCUUAGAUGUCCUGGGCCGCACGCGCGUUACACUGAUGCUUUCAACGAGCUUAUAACCUUGGCCGAGAGGCCUGGGCAAUCUUGUUAACGUGCAUCGUGAUAGGGAUAGAUUAUUGAAAUUAUUAAUCUUGAACGAGGAAUUCCUAGUAAACGCAGAUCAUCAAUCUGCAUUGAUUACGUCCCUGCCCUUUGUACACACCGCCCGUCGCACCUACCGAUUGGAUGGUCCGGUGAAGCCUCGGGAUUGUGGUUCUUGCCGCUUUAUUGUGGCGUGACCGCGAGAACUUGUCUAAACCUUAUCAUCUAGAGGAAGGUGAAGUCGUAACA
rnacentral:rRNA from 1 species